AUGCUUCUGCGCGAGAUUAAGCCAUGCAUGUCUUCCCGAAUAAGGUGAGUAUUUCUUGAAUCUGCGAACGGCUCCGCAAACCGGUCAUAGCCAGUCCCCGAGCCACGGGUGAUUUGGCCGAGCAUUUAGUUGGGCACUCCACUUAAUAGAUGGAUAUCUCUGGCAAUUCUGCGGCUAAUACAUGAACGUACCCAGUCUCCAAUGGACCCGCGCGGGCCCGGACUUUCCAGUUUACUGGGGGGCCCGGGAUACCCGUCGGGCCACCGGAGGAGGCUGGGGGAGUGCACGACUAAAUUGUUCGACCAUUUCAUCCGUGAUCGGUGGCACUUCCAUUACCCUGUCCCGCCUUGGCGGGCGGGCGGUUCGUCCCAUUAAACCGCGCAGCGGCGGGUUCUCCCACACUGUUGGGGGGUCCGUUGUCUGGUCGGCAGCGUGGGGCGAGCUAGGGUCACAGUGUGGGUUUCCCCCCUAUCAACUCGACUGUGCUGUAACGGGGUGCCCUGGUUUCUACGGGUACAGAGGAUUAGAGUUCGAUCCUGGAGAGUGGGCCUGAGAGAUUGCUCAUACUUCUAAGGAAGGCAGCAGGCGCGCAACGUUCCCAAUGGGACCAUGUGGCGGCCCAGAGGUCUAACCAACCCCUGAGGGCGUCAGUGUAUGUAAGGAUGUUCGACCAAAAUUGGCGGGCAAUUGAAA
rnacentral:rRNA from 1 species